rnacentral:rRNA from 1 species
UACAGGGGGUGCAAACGUUGCUCGGAAUUACUGGGCGUAAAGGGCUCGUAGGCGGCCAACUAAGUCGGACGUGAAAUCCCCAGGCUCAACCUGGGAACUGCGUCCGAUACUGGAUGGCUUGAAUUCGGGAGAGGGAUGCAGAAUUCCAGGUGUAGCGGUGAAAUGCGUAGAUAUCUGGAGGAAUACCGGUGGCGAAGGCGGCAUCCUGGACCGACAUUGACGCUGAUGAGCGAAAGCUAGGGGAGCAAACGGG